AUUAUAUGAUGAACGACAUUUCCCUUUCCCAGGUGCUUAUGUUUCCAGGUGGCUACUGUAAAAUCACUGUCAAACUUGCCUAGGUUUUUAGUGUCAUUCUGGCUCCAACUCACUUUCCUUUCUUCUUUCUCCCACAUUUGUGAUCUCCUGCCUUGUUUCAGAUGUUUUCCUAAGAUGCCUUAAAUCCUUUCUACAACAAGGAACACAGCAGAUCAACCAGCCCAUCAGUCAACCAACCAAGCAGGGGAUUCUCUGAAGCUCUGCACUCCCCUGGGGCAAAGACUGCUCUCUGUCAUCUUGCCUCAAAAAUCAAAUCAAGUGAAAAUCACAGAGGUGGAGGAAACAACAAGAUACUGUGGACGUUGUCAAUAUGGACUAAAAGAACGUACCUCCUGUGCAUGCAGCUGGAUCUCUGCCCGUGUUGUGGAGCUGGGAGAGGACACCCCCCGACCCAGGGAGUAGCGAGUGACAAAGUCACCCACUGACUGUCCCAGAGGAUUCUACCAGCCUGCCCCACCCAUCCUCCACUUCCUACACGUGGCUGCCAGGGCCACAUCUGCAUCCCACCUGGGUAGCGGGAACAAAACCAUUAACCAGUGGCCAAGGAAGCACAGAGGUGACCCCCAGGUUUAAAACAUGGACUCAAAAGAGAUCAUUCAUCUCAAUGGUUACCAAGCAGUCUGCCUCACAGUGUGUCCAACGCACUUGCUUUAUCCCACACUGGAGAUCCGAAAGACAGACAGCGGCUGACGUGCAAGUGACAGUGGCUUUAAGAAGAAAGGCCAGUGAUUUUUUUAAAAAAUGGAUACGAGAUGGAACCGAUGAAUGUUAAAGAAGGAAAGCCGUAGCAUCUUAGAGAAUCUCACUAAGGUUGUGAGAAUCUCCUCAACGGGCUGAAAACUACCAGCAACAAACAGCUUAGGAAUAAUACUUUUUAAACAGUGAGUGGUCAAAUUUAGUGUGUGGCAGUUUGUCAAUAAAGCUGCACGUUCAAGUUGUAACAAAUCGGUGUCAAACUAUGUGAUGGGCCUGGAUGGUAGAAAAAUCUGAUGAUGAGUAUCCAAACAGCUGUGAAAAAAGAAACGGAGAGGAGAGAGGGGAAGGUUAACUCACAGAGAAGGGAAGCUGGCCUUGCCCUGAGUCUGCGUUUACAUCUUCCCCAGAAGGAGCAGAAGGCCCACGCGUGCCCGGCCCUGGAGACCCUGCCUCCCCGGGCCUCUGUGCAGGCCUGUGGUCCAGAUCCCGCUGACAGCGAUGAGCCAUCAGGUGAUCAGCCACUGUGUGUCUCCCAGGAGAGGAAGCCUUCAGCACAUGCUCAUUCGGCUAUUCUACCAACAAUCGCCGAUGCCAACAGGAGUGUCAGACGCUGGGUCAGAGAUGGCAAGGACAUUCUCUGCCCUCCAGUCUGGCCCUGUGGCUGCAGUGACAGACAUGAGGACAGAGGGCUGAGGGGGUAGGAGCAAGGGUCCUCCACCCUGAGGAGUUGGGAGAGACAUGAGCGCAGCUAAGCGUGGGCUCCACGGAGUGUGGAGGGGGUCGGGGGAAGACGGCAGCAGGAGACCAGUCUGCAGAGGGGGGCAGAGGCCAGAUCAAAGGCAGGUGGAGUGGGGCCUUGAACUCAGACAGGCCCAGCUCAUCUCCUGACUGGCUGUCAGGUCUUAGGGCCAGCUGGAAACCCUCAGACCGAGCUCCAGGGAACACACAGGAGUCACAACUACAUACACCUUCUCGGUAGACAAGCCACAGGCUGUGCGUAUAAUCAAAGGGGCCAGAGGACGAGGCCAAUCCAAGGAGGGAAGAGCCUAGGCCGGGCCUAAAGCCAGAAUGAUGCCAGCACCCCAACACCCAGGAAGCCAAGCCAACAUGCAACCCCAUGCCCAGGAAGCCAGGGUGAGGCUAGGUUGGGCACAGCCCCUGGUCUUUCUCCUGGGAAAGGGCGUGGCACCAAGGAGACUGGGGAACAAAGC